CUUUCCGGAGCUGAAACUUUCCAGCCUCAAUCUGAUGGCUUCCGACGAGUUUCCAGCAGAAUCGUCUGCAUAUUUGGACUCCUGCAACUCAAGCUUUGUGUGGACCCUUCCAGAUUCGAAAUCUGACACUAUUGGUGGUGAUAGCUAGGUUCUCCGCCGACAUCUUUUGCAGCCCGACUUCCUUUCUCCCUUUGGGUUUAUUGUAAUUAAAUCUUACUUUUGUGUUUUAAAUUAUUUGAAACUCUAGACUCUAUGCAGUAGCGUACUUGGUAUUUUAUAUUUAAAUUUAGUCUGUAAAAAAAUUAUGGGAUAUUUGCUAGUAAUCCAGCUGGAGGAUUAAUUUAA